UCUCACACGAUGUUGCCAGAGGCAACUAGUCACUGGGAUACAGUCAAGGCCAUUUUGACUGCGCUGUUUCAUUGUAUCUGGAUUCGGCCCAUUCCUAACUCCUGAAUUUGAAACCUAUUCCUCUACUCCUAUGGAAUCCUGCCUCAGGGAUUAAGAAUGUAUGCUGUUCCCAAAUCACUAACCCUCAAUUGUUAAAUACAUUAUUUUCUGUUGCACAACCUGGUAUUAUGUUCCUUGUCCACAAAGUGGGUCUGUCAACUGCUCUGUCAUCUAAACACAUUAGUACAAAAGACUGGUCAAACCUAUAGGUAUUCCAUUUCCGCUGAUCUCUUGAGUAUCUCCCUGUCUUUAGAGUAUAAGUUCUCUGUGUUCCUGCCCUCCACUAUUGCCUAUGCCAGGGUGGGCACUGCCAUUCAUAGACUGAAGCUCCUGGAUGGAGCUCUAUCCAAUGAUUCACUCAUGCAGCUGCUAGCAAACAUCUUGGCCAUUGAUCUGGAGUCUCUCUGCUGCUGCUCCGACCAGUUGGAGGGUGUGCUGGAGCUCAGCCUGCCCACCUCCCCCCAGGCACCAGGGGCUUGUCGUUCAGGGAUGCCCGUCCCAGAGGUCAGCUAGACCGCCGCUAACAUCCAAGACCUACUGGGAUAGAGAUGACACCAAGCAGACAAUCACUUUAAUGGGUCUUUCUUAACAAUGACUUUGGCUUAUUUUACCAUAGUGACCAUAAUGAGAAAGGUGUCUUAACUACCCCCUACGACAAUCUUUGGCAGAGAAGUACUAGCUCAGUCACCAUAACAAUGUAUGUGAUAUGAAGAAACAUGUCUUUUGAGAUGAAUUGUGAUCUUUUUGAUAAGAUGUCCAUGUGUCUUUCUGUUGACAUUUGUUUGAGUUCUUUAUUUCAUUGCUAUGCACUUGGUGUUUUAAGGACAUUUUAUAACUUUGAAGUUACUGUUGUUAGCUUCAGGGAAGCUCUCUGAAGAGUUACCACAGAGGGCUAUCAUUUUAACUGAAAUAUGCUAUUUGUGAUUUUGCCAGCUGUUUUGCACUACAUUUUUAUUUCAAUGUUUGCGCUGUGUGAGCUUGGUGAAGGGAAGACAUUAUUCACUAUUAUUAAAAUGCUGCUUUUAAUUUUG